rnacentral:tRNA from 1 species
ACCAGGCUGGCUCAGUUUGGUGGAGCAUGGGACCCUUGAUCUCAGGAUUGUGGGUUCGAGCCCCACAUUGGGUG